CUUUUGCGUGAUUGCGUCGAGCGAAAACCCCUCUCUAUUCUCUAAAACCCCCACUGAAUCUCUCGUCUCCGCCUCUCUCCGGCCGUUCUUCAUUUCUCUCUUUACAUUUUUUCCACUCAAUGGCUUCAGCGGUUCUCAGAAACCCUAAUUCCAAACGCUUUUUUCCAUUCUCUUCCCCAAUCUACUGGUGCUGUAGAGGAUCGGCCUCCACUCAUUUCUCAAUCUCCGAUUCGCUCUCUGGAAAUGAAACUACCUCUGUGUCCGCUGGUUCAUGGUGGAGAUCCAUGGCUACCUUCACUCGGACUAAACCUCAUGUCAAUGUGGGAACAAUUGGACAUGUUGAUCAUGGGAAGACAACUCUUACUGCAGCAAUUACAAAGGUUCUAGCAGA
rnacentral:misc_RNA from 1 species